AUAUAAUUUAAUUCUAGUGGCGGACGGGUGGGUAACGCGUGGGUAACCUGCCUUAUACAGGGGGAUAACAGUCAGAAAUGGCUGCUAAUACCGCAUAAGCGCACAGAGCUGCAUGGCUCGGUGUGAAAAACUCCGGUGGUAUAAGAUGGACCCGCGUUGGAUUAGCUUGUUGGUGGGGUAACGGCCCACCAAGGCGACGAUCCAUAGCCGGCCUGAGAGGGUGAACGGCCACAUUGGGACUGAGACACGGCCCAGACUCCUACGGGAGGCAGCAGUGGGGAAUAUUGCACAAUGGGGGAAACCCUGAUGCAGCGACGCCGCGUGAAGGAAGAAGUAUCUCGGUAUGUAAACUUCUAUCAGCAGGGAAGAUAGUGACGGUACCUGACUAAGAAGCCCCGGCUAACUACGUGCCAGCAGCCGCGGUAAUACGUAGGGGGCAAGCGUUAUCCGGAUUUACUGGGUGUAAAGGGAGCGUAGACGGUGUGGCAAGUCUGAUGUGAAAGGCAUGGGCUCAACCUGUGGACUGCAUUGGAAACUGUCAUACUUGAGCGCCGGAGGGGUAAGCGGAAUUCCUAGUGUAGCGGUGAAAUGCGUAGAUAUUAGGAGGAACACCAGUGGCGAAGGCGGCUUACUGGACGGUAACUGACGUUGAGGCUCGAAAGCGUGGGGAGCAAA
rnacentral:rRNA from 1 species